rnacentral:rRNA from 1 species
GAUUUCCCGGAGCUUUAAGCUCCUUGAAGGGUCGUUCGAGACCAGGACGUUGAUAGGCUGGGUGUGGAAGCGCAGUAAUGCGUUAAGCUAACCAGUACUAAUUGCCCGUAAGGCUUGUCCC